rnacentral:rRNA from 1 species
UCUUGGUUGAUCCUGCCAGUGCGCAUACGCUCCUUUUUAAAGAUUAAGCCAUGCACGUGAAAGUUCAUACAUUUAAAAUGUGAGACUGCGGAAGGCUCAGUAAAUCAGUUAUAAUCUGCUCGAUUGUAUAGGUUAUUGGAUAACCGUGGGAAAUCUAGAGCUAAUACAUGUAAUUGGGGAGUAAUUUCGGUUAUUCUCAUGGCAUUUAUUAGACAAUUACCAAUCGUGGGGCAACUCAUGUGGUGAAUCUAGAUAACUUAGCAGAUCGUAUGGCCUAGAGCCGGCGACGUUUCGAUUGAAUUUCUGCCCUAUCAACUAUUGUCGGUAGUGUAGUGGACUACCGAGGUUUUAACGGGUGACGGGGGAUCAGGGUUCGAUUCCGGAGAGGGAGCCUGAGAAACGGCUACCACAUCCAAGGAAGGCAGCAGGCGCGCAAAUUACCCAAUCCAGACAAUGGGAGGUGGUGACGAAAAGUACCAGAUGACAGCCAAAGGUUGUCAAUCUGGAAUGGAAUCAAUUUAAGCAAUUGAUUGAGGAACGACUAGAGGGCAAGUCUGGUGCCAGCAGCCGCGGUAAUUCCAGCUCUAGUAGCGUAUCCCAAAGUUGCUGCGCUUAAAACGCUCGUAGUUGGAUCACAAACUAUAUGCAAGUUGGCGUGGUGCUGUUCCAAAUGUAAAAAUUCAACGAGAUGCCAUCAUUUCGGGGAAGAUUUAUGUGGGGCAGUAUCAUUGCCGUAAGCUGGUGUGUAGUAAUUGCACGUGAGGAUAGAUAUUCGCCUUGAAUGAGUAGAUAUCUGUGUCUCGCGGAGUGUGCCUUGAAUAAAUCAAAGUGCUUAAAGCAGGCUGUACGCUUGAAUGUUAAAGCAUGGAACGAACAAUCGUGUAGGGUGCAUGAUGGUAAAUGAGUGCAGGGCCUAGCCAGGUAUUCAUCAUCGUGUGACACCGACCACCAAUAUCGGAUGUUGGUUCCGUAUUGGGGUAUUGAUUAAGAGGAGCGGUUGGGGGCAUUGGUAUUUGGCAGCGAGAGGUGAAAUUCUUGGACCUGUCAAGGACUAACAAAUGCGAAGGCAUCUGUCCAGACCGUAUCCAUUAAUCAAGAACGAUAGUGAGAGGUUCGAAAACGAUCAGAUACCGUUCUAGUUCUCACUGUAAACCAUGCCGACCCGGGAUCAGUUUGGAGCUUAUUCCAUGCUCGGAGUUGGUCCCCCUGGGAAACCUAAAGUUUUUCGGUUGCGGGGGGAGUAUGGUCGCAAGGCUGAAACUUAAAGGAAUUGACGGAAGGGCACCACCAGGGGUGGAGCCUGCGGCUUAAUUUGACUCAACACGGGGAAACUUACCUGGUCCGAACAUCCGAAGGAUACACAGACUAAUAGAUCUUUGUUGAUGGGGUGAAAAGUGGUGCAUGGCCGUUCUUAGUUCGUGGAGUGAUCUGUCAG